CGAGAACCUCCCGGACUCCACUCUGCUCCUGGGGAUUCGCCCUUCCCACCAGAGCACCGCCAGGCCACAUCAUUCCAACUUCCAGGAAGUUUCAGCCCGACUACAGAGGUUCAUGGACUUAUUUUCUUUAUAAUAACCCCUGGCACACAUUCAUUCAUUCAUUCAUUCUCCAUUGAGAACUUCUCUAUCCCUGCUACUGUUCUAGAUAAUAAAGAUACAUUGUAAGCAAAUAA